UGGGGCACUCUGGGCCCGGAGGAGGUGCAGGAGGCGGGCUGGGGCAAUAUGGGCCCGGAGGAGGUGCAGGAGGCGGGCUGGGGCACUAUGGGCCCGGAGGAGGUGCAGGAGGUGGGCUGGGGCACUAUGGGCCCAGAGGAGGUGCAGGAGGCGGGCUGGGGCACUACGGGCCCUGAGGAGGUGCAGGAGGCAGGCUGGGGCAAUACGGGCCCAGAGGAGGUGCAGGAGGCGGGCUGGGGCACUAUGGGCCCAGAGGAGGUGCAGGAGGCGGGCUGGGGCACUAUGGGCCCAGAG